GAUGAACGCUGGCGGCGUGCCUAACACAUGCAAGUCGAACGGAAAGGCCAGUGCUUGCACUGGUACUCGAGUGGCGAACGGGUGAGUAACACGUGGGUGAUCUGCCCUGCACUUCGGGAUAAGCCUGGGAAACUGGGUCUAAUACCGGAUAGGACAAUGGUUUGGAUGCCGUUGUGGAAAGUUUUUUCGGUGUGGGAUGAGCUCGCGGCCUAUCAGCUUGUUGGUGGGGUAAUGGCCUACCAAGGCGUCGACGGGUAGCCGGCCUGAGAGGGUGUACGGCCACAUUGGGACUGAGAUACGGCCCAGACUCCGACGGGAGGCAGCAGUGGGGAAUAUUGCACAAUGGGCGCAAGCCUGAUGCAGCGACGCCGCGUGGGGGAUGACGGCCUUCGGGUUGUAAACUCCUUUCGCUAGGGACGAAGCGUAUUUGUGACGGUACCUGGAGAAGAAGCACCGGCUAACUACGUG
rnacentral:rRNA from 1 species